UUCAUUUGGCCGCGUUAUAAUAUUUAGCUAGACUUUGGCCCUUUGGCAUCUUCCAAACCACCGAAGUUGAAAAGUCAUUUCACUUGUAUUUUUUUACCUAAAAAAUAUUGGAAAAGAAAAACAAAAAAUGGGAAAGAAGAGAAGAAGCAAGAAAAUUAACCAAGAGAAACAGAGGCAUGAUCCUGACCCAACAACCAUUUCAAGCUCCAGAUCAAUCCAAAAUGCUAUAACAUGCCUAACACAGGAAAAUUCUCAACUUUAGUCAUUGUUCCUAACAAGCUCAAUGAUCUCAUAACUGUCAAACUAAAAGGAUUUGCAGAUGAAGAAAAGGAGAUUUUCAUGGCAAGGCGAUUAUUACCUUUAUUCGUGUUAAGCAUUGGCCUGCAAUGCAACAUAUGGCCAGCAACUCAUCAAGCAGACAAGCAAUGGAGCAGAAUCGAGUGCAGCAGCUUGUUCAACAUUUUGUUUCAUUUUGUUCAAAUGUAACUUACUUAGUUACCUAGUAACUUGUCAAUUGAAGUUAGUAGGAUUAGUUUUUUAUUUGCUCUUGAUGUAAUAGCUGAAAUGUCAGCUUACUUUUACUUGUAAUUCAAAUUUGUAUUAGUGUAUUAGUGGGAGCAGUUAUAUUAGUAGGUAACUGUCCAAAUUUGUUUUUUUGUAACUUAUAUAUCUUUUGAAUGAUGAAUGAAGAUUUGAUUUUUCCUUAA